AUGUUAGAUUGAGAUUUAGAUCAAACCUAAGCUGACUAAUCAACUGUCCUGGUUGCUCAUUUCAUACCGUACUGCAUGAUGCAUUUGUAUAUGGUUAUCUCUGACAUGCUUAGUGUAUAAUAGCAUAUAUCCUUUGUGCCUAUAUGUGAUUCAUUUGCUUGAGUAUUUUUUAAAUUUUGUUCUGUGGUUGUAUAUGGCUAUCUCUGAAAUGCUUGCAGGGUGUUGGCUGAUAGUCAUAUUCCCUGGGCAUGUGAAGCAUUUACGAAAUUGCAUGGACAUGACUUGGUCCAAGCCCCAGCCCUUAUUUGGUGUUGGAGACUGUUUAUGAUCAAACUGUGGAAUCAUGGACUGCUUGAUGCACGCACGAUGAACAAUUGUAAUAUUACUCUGGAACAAUAUCGAACGCAGGAUUUGGAUCCUAUGAGAAGUUGAAAGGUUUGAUGAGGGUCCCAAAUCUCGAUUGGAUCGCAUUUUGAAGUUGACACCAAAGUUUGAGUAAGCCUGGAUCAUCAUGCUUGUCCUCGGGUGUUGACUAGUUUGAUCCAAGAUCCUGCUAAGUUCAGCUUCUGGAUGGGCAGCGGAAGGAAGUUAGCUCGAGAAAGUGACAUGGGAGAAUGCGCAGAAGGAUGCAAAGAAAAGUUUGUUCAUUUGGUUUGUCAAAUUAUUACCAAACCUUAUAAGAAACGUUUGCCAACAUGUGAGUACGUAGGAGCGAAUCUAAGGUUGCUUUUUGCUUUGAUAUAAGCCCUCGGACUUAUCACCAACACGUGUGGCUAGCCAUGCAUUUGCCUAAUUUUUUGACCUUUUCCUAAUUUUAGCAGUUCUUUCGCCCUCCUUCUAAUUUUAUGAAACAGUGACCGACAUUUUCUCCACUUGGGGAAGUUGUGCUUCGCACCAAUUCACCAUUUUUCCACAGCUUAAUGAAUCUUCCUCCUCUAUUUUACACUA